rnacentral:rRNA from 1 species
UACGGGGGGGGCAAGCGUUGUUCGGAAUUACUGGGCGUAAAGGGCUCGUAGGCGGCCAACUAAGUCAGACGUGAAAUCCCUCGGCUUAACCGGGGAACUGCGUCUGAUACUGGAUGGCUUGAGUUUGGGAGAGGGAUGCGGAAUUCCAGGUGUAGCGGUGAAAUGCGUAGAUAUCAGGAGGAACACCGGUGGCGAAGGCGGGUCUCUGGGCCGUAACUGACGCUGAGGAGCGAAAGCGUGGGGAGCGAACAGG